rfam:Triticum aestivum genome assembly, contig: Triticum_aestivum_CS42_TGACv1_scaffold_293195_4AL
UGAGGUGUAGCAUAGUCUGGUCAACGCAUCUGUUAUGGGUACAGAGGGCCAUAGGUUCGAAUCCUGUCACCUUGA